rnacentral:rRNA from 1 species
UCCUCCCUCUUUCUUCGUGCCUAAUACAUGCAAGUUGAGCGAUGAAGAUUGGUGCUUGCACCAAUUUGAAGAGCAGCGAACGGGUGAGUAACGCGUGGGGAAUCUGCCUUUGAGCGGGGGACAACAUUUGGAAACGAAUGCUAAUACCGCAUAACAACUUUAAACAUAAGUUUUAAGUUUGAAAGAUGCAAUUGCAUCACUCAAAGAUGAUCCCGCGUUGUAUUAGCUAGUUGGUGAGGUAAAGGCUCACCAAGGCGAUGAUACAUAGCCGACCUGAGAGGGUGAUCGGCCACAUUGGGACUGAGACACGGCCCAAACUCCUACGGGAGGCAGCAGUAGGGAAUCUUCGGCAAUGGACGAAAGUCUGACCGAGCAACGCCGCGUGAGUGAAGAAGGUUUUCGGAUCGUAAAACUCUGUUGGUAGAGAAGAACGUUGGUGAGAGUGGAAAGCUCAUCAAGUGACGGUAACUACCCAGAAAGGGACGGCUAACUCCGUG